AUGGAGCCUGUCGCUCUGCCGGACGACGACGAUCUCCUCCGGGAGAUCCUCCUCCGCCUCCCGCCGCAGCCCUCCUCGCUCAUCCGCGCCUCCGCCGUCUGCAGGCGGUGGCGGAGCAUCACCACCGAUCCUAGAUUCCUCGGCCGCUUCCGCGCGCACCACCGCAAGCCGCCGCUCCUCGGCGCCUUCGAGUACAUCCAGGGCGACCUCGUCUUCACCUCCUUGCUCGACCGUCCCGACCGCAUCCCUCCCGGGCGCUUCGACCUGGGACGCUACAGCGACCGCCGCGACUACGGCGUGCUCGGCUUCCGCCACGGCCGCGUCCUCGUCUUAGACCGUGUGCGCAAGGACCUCGUCGUGUGCGCCCCCGUCACCGGCGAGCAGCGCCGCGUGGCCGUUCCGCCCGAGUUCAAGAAGGGCUCCCUCAACGGGGCCGUGCUCUGCGCUGCCGGCGACCCUGGCCACGUGCACGGUGAAUGCCACUCCAGCCCCUUCAAGGUGGCCUUGGUAUCCUUGUGCAGGCAUGACUAUAGACCCCUCGCCAGUGUUUACUCCUCAGAUACCGGGGCAUGGAGCAAUCCCGUCUCGACGGCGGCUCCAUGUCAACUGUUUGAUGCUUGUAUGGAUGGCUCACUCGUUGAUGAUUUCCCGGGUGGUGGUACCCAUCGAAUCAUCCAGGCUGAGGAUGGCGCUGUUGGCUUCGCCAUGAUGUAUUACCCACACUUCCAAACGUGGCAAAGGAACGUCGAUGCUCAUGGUGUUGCCACAUGGGUGCCGUGGAAGACCGUUGAAUUGCGUAACAUUCUCGGGCCCCGUCCUCAGAUUGGGAGAACCAGAAGGAUGGCGCGAUUGACACGAGGCUGGGACUAUGUCAAGGGGACGGGAGGUAUAAUGUGCUAUGUUGAGGAUACUGAUGUAAUUUUUAUACAUAUGGACGUCAAUGUCUACAUGAUUCAACUUAAUUCAUUGCAAUCCAAGAGUAUUCCUGGAAAACGUUUUAGAAGUGCCUACCAUCCAUUCAUGAGUUUCUAUACACCAGGCAAUCUAAGCCUAAUCAGCAAUUAUCCCUUUGAUAGAUAG
rnacentral:rRNA from 1 species